rnacentral:tRNA from 8 species
GCGGGAAUAGCUCAGUUGGUAGAGCAUAACCUUGCCAAGGUUGGGGUCGCGAGUUCGAGUCUCGUUUCCCGCUCCC